GGUAUCAUCCUUUCGGGGGUGAGAGAGUGGCGAACUGGUGAGUAACACGUAGGUUAUCUACCCUCAAGACGGGGACAACCCAGGGAAACUUGGGCUAAUACCGGAUGUGAGCAACUUUUAGUUGUUUGAAAGGUGGCGUAAGCUGUCGCUUGGGGAUGAGCCUGCGUCCUAUUAGUUAGUUGGUGAGGUAACGGCUCACCUAGGCAAUGAUAGGUAGGCGGCCUUAACGGGUGGUCGCCCACACUGGGAUUGAGAUACGGCCCAGACUCCUACGGGAGGCAGCAGUCGAGAAUAGUCUACAAUGGUCGGAAGACUGAUAGUGCGACGCCGCGUGAACGAUGAAUCCCUUCGGGGUGUAAAGUUCUUUUAUAUGUGAGCAGUGCUUCUUAUAUUAACAGUAUGGGGAGAGAGAUAUUAGCAUAUGAAUAAGCAACGGCUAACUCCGUGCCAGCAGCCGCGGUAACACGGGGGUUGCGAGCGUUGUCCGGAAUUACUAGGCGUAAAGGGCAGGCAGGCGGAUCCAUAAGUUUAUCGUUUAAGGCGUCGGCUUAACCGGCGUAGGGCGGUAGAUACUGUGGAUCUGGAAUGCGGUUGGGGAAGACAGAAUUCCUGGUGUAGCGGUGGAAUGCGCAGAGAUCAGGAGGAAUACCGAAGGCGAAGGCAGUCUUCCAAGCCGUUAUUGACGCUCAACUGCGAAGGUGUGGGUAUCAAACAGGAUUAGAUACCCUGGUAGUCCACACAGUAAACGAUAAUCACUGGGUGUCGGGUUCGCAUAGGAU
rnacentral:rRNA from 1 species